AUUGAACGCUGGCGGCAGGCCUAACACAUGCAAGUCGAACGGUAACAGGAAGCAGCUUGCUGCUUCGCUGACGAGUGGCGGACGGGUGAGUAAUGUCUGGGAAACUGCCUGAUGGAGGGGGAUAACUACUGGAAACGGUAGCUAAUACCGCAUAAUGUCGCAAGACCAAAGAGGGGGACCUUCGGGCCUCUUGCCAUCGGAUGUGCCCAGAUGGGAUUAGCUUGUUGGUGGGGUAACGGCUCACCAAGGCGACGAUCCCUAGCUGGUCUGAGAGGAUGACCAGCCACACUGGAACUGAGACACGGUCCAGACUCCUACGGGAGGCAGCAGUGGGGAAUAUUGCACAAUGGGCGCAAGCCUGAUGCAGCCAUGCCGCGUGUAUGAAGAAGGCCUUCGGGUUGUAAAGUACUUUCAGCGGGGAGGAAGGGAGUAAAGUUAAUACCUUUGCUCAUUGACGUUACCCGCAGAAGAAGCACCGGCUAACUCCGUGCCAGCCGCCGCGGUAA
rnacentral:rRNA from 1 species